rnacentral:rRNA from 1 species
CGAAAGCCUGACGGAGCAAUACCGCGUGGGGGAGGAAGGCUCUUGGGUCGUAAACCUCUUUUCUCAGGGAAGAAAAAAAUGACGGUACCUGAGGAAUCAGCAUCGGCUAACUCCGUGCCAGCAGCCGCGGUAAUACGGAGGAUGCAAGCGUUAUCCGGAAUGAUUGGGCGUAAAGCGUCCGCAGGUGGCAAUUCAAGUCUGCUGUUAAAGGUCGGGGCUCAACCCCGAAAUGGCGGUGGAAACUGAAUAGCUAGAGUGCGGUGGGGGCAGAGGGAAUUCCUGGUGUAGCGGUGAAAUGCGUAGAGAUCAGGAAGAACACCGGUGGCGAAAGCGCUCUGCUAGGCCGCAACUGACACUCAUGGACGAAAGCUAGGGGAGCG